rnacentral:rRNA from 1 species
UACGUAGGGACCAAGCGUUGUUCGGAUUUACUGGGCGUAAAGGGCGCGUAGGCGGCCACCGCAAGUCGACUGUGAAAUCUCCGGGCUUAACCCGGAAAGGUCAGCCGAUACUGCGGGGCUAGAGUGCAGAAGGGGCAACUGGAAUUCUCGGUGUAGCGGUGAAAUGCGUAGAUAUCGAGAGGAACACCUGCGGCGAAGGCGGGUUGCUGGGCUGACACUGACGCUGAGGCACGAAAGCGUGGGAGCAACAGG